UUAAGAGUCACUCUCUAAGAAAGCACCUUCAACUUAUAAUUUCCCAAUUUUAUGAUCCAAAUCAAGAAAAGUUACAUAUAAUCUACAUCAAAAUCAAAAGAAAAAAAAAUAGAUGAUUUACAACCUCUCAUCAUCUGAACAAAGGCCACAAAAAAAACAAAAAUCAUAUAUAUAUAUUGCUCCCUCUGAAAUUUCUUGAGAGAAAGAAACCCAUCCAUCAAAACAUUAAUUGAAAUCAGGGAAUUAAAAGACAAAAGGAAAAAUUAAGAAGCAGUCGAUUCAUAGCCACAAAGCCCCGGCAUCUUUCAAAAUAGGCACCAACUCACCAGAGAUAUGAGUAGCCAUAACUCUCUCCAGUCCACCAAACAACUUUCCUCCCACAAAAACCACCGGAAACUGCACUUCGCCGCCGAUUUUACCACCGUUAAUAUUCGAUAACUCAUUCAUCACCGCCGCUUCUUCCUUCUCAUCCACCUCGAACACGGUGGGAUUCACACCAAGCCCUAGCAGCAGCUUCUUCACCACAUGGCACAUGCAACAACCACGUUUUCCAAACACUAUAACUGAGUUCUCUAACACCAAUUUUUGGACAUAGUUUUCUCCAUUGGCUAAUACUAGUAAAUUUCCAACACCAGUGGCGGUACCACCGAGCUGAGGAAACUGUCGGUUGUCUCCGGCGGUGGCAGUAGCCGGGAUGUAUGUUCUGAAUGGGAUUGCUUCUUGCAUGAGAUCGAAAUAAGGAUGAGUGAAUGUUUUAGAUUUGGGAAGA
rnacentral:misc_RNA from 1 species